CAGUCGGCGGUACUCUCGCUGAGGAGGUCGUGAAAACAUGACCGAGGACCUCGUGAACUCAUUAAUAACCCUGAGGAGGGUUGAGGGCGGGCUUCGCGAGUAUUAUCAGUUUAGAAAAGGAAUUUAUUGGAAGGAAAUUGGAUAGCUAAAAUAAUAAAUAGGACGUCUGCAGAACCAAGCUUAGCAAUGGGAAGGAAUCAAGAGAGACUGGCCGGCAAAGACGUAGAGAUGCAAACCUACACUAUGAAUGUAACCCCGCGCAUCUGUUAGUACCAACUGCCUAUCUCCUCUUAGAAGGUGAAGAGUGGACGGUGAGGAUUCACUUCUCAGGCCAAGACAAGAAAGGAGACCAGCUUGUGAUGGAAGCACAGAGCCACCCAGGAAGGCACUGUAUACUCUUCAAGAAGUAGUCUUCUUCCCCCACUAGACGUGACAAGUCAAAGUCGAAACUGCUGCUAGAGAUCACUUAGUGGUUUUCAAAUGUCCUCAUCCAGUUUUGGUACCAAAGUAGCAUCAUAAAAUCAGUUGACUGAAACAUGGGUGUGUAAAGGAGCCAGCUUCAACCAUUGAAAUGAGAAUGUCCUAUAACCACAGGAAUGAGGAGGUGAUGGAGCAUCAAGAUAGAAGGAACCAUAUUUUGGAUGACCUCCUGGAGGAGAUCCUGCCAGACUGGGACUUCUUACCUGUGGACUCUUUUGAGUAUGAUAUGUAUUUUAUUUAUUCAACUGUUCUUUGACAUCGCUCAGUAAAUUCAUGUAAAGACUUUAAAGCAUGCAACGAUAACCUAGGAAUGAGAAAAUUAAUUCUACCUGAAGAGAUCUGGGAAGACAUUUUUAUGGCCCGAAAGAGGAGAGCUCUACAAAUGUAGUCAAAUGAGAUCAAGGUAGAGAAAUUUCUCCACAAAUUUCUUGGUCAUCAAGGAAGUAAUUAUUGGCAGGAUCCCAGCUCUGCCCCUCAGAUGCAGGUUAAAAUCACCAUCCUCAAAGCUACCUGGAGGUGGAUUAAGGAUGGAAUAAGGUGGAAUAAGGAUUAAGAAUGCCAACUUGGAAGUCAGACUGGGUGUUUGAAUUAUGACCCUUUGACCUUUAGUUGUAUGACUUUGGAUGUAAACCUAGUAACGUUGCAACCCUGCAAUGCCAAGUGAAGAUCGUAUAGCACAUUUUGAAUCAGAUAAGACCCAACCCCAAAUUAAAAUGAGCGGUGAAACAAUUUAUAAUGCUAUAUAUUAUCAUGAUGCAACAUGCAUUAUUAUAAUUGUACAGUUGACUAUUAUGCCGUGCCAAACGUGUACCAGAGAGCUUGUCUGGCUUUUAAUGGCUGGGAGCACACAGGUGGUGUAUGUAAUACUAAUACCAGCUAAUGUUAAUGACAUGCUUACCCGGGGCUAGGCACUGCUUUAAGACCUUGACAUGUAUUAGCUCAUUUAAUCUUCACUUAUUUGUCCUGUGUGAUUAUUAUAGGAGUGUAUAUGAGCAGAUGUGCAUUUCAAAAUAUGACUAGUACACAGAUAAACCCUAUUACAAAACGCCCUUAUAAGAAAUUCAAAUGCGCACAUGCGCACACACACACACACACACACACACAUACAUGUGUGUGCGUCCAUGUGCUCGUGGAGUUAACCAAAUAGCACAAAUUAAUGCAUUGAUGGUAUCUAAUGCAUUAAAAUUUGGUAUCAAACUUAGGUAUGUAUGUAUUGUACUUUAUUACACUUCAAAUUGCUUAAAUAUUUAUCAUAAAAAUGAAAUAUGAAUUAAAUGCUUGCAGGCUCCCUGAAGCUUAUUGGAGCUCUCCAUAACAAUUUGAAAACCAAAGCAUUAAACCUUAUUACUCAUUUACACUGGAGUGUGAAAGGAGCCAAAUCAGAUCCUCUUCUGCACACAAAGGUGUAAAAAAGGGAGAAGUAUGAGAUUUUUAAUAUUCAUUAAUUUUUCAGAAAGACAGGAACAUUAUUAGGCACCUAUUAUGUUCCAGCAAUGUCAAUAUAUUAUCUAUAAUCCCCAUAACACCCUUGCCUAGUAGACACCAUUAUUCUGAUGUUACAGAAGAGGAAACGGAGGACCUGAGAUGUUAAUUUGCUUACCUCGGGGUACACAACUGGAGAAAUGGCAGCUUUCCCAGCACUCCAAACCAAAGCAGAACUAAAAUUCUCAAUAGUGACAACGUCCAAAGGCAGUACACCACUUCUCCUGCCACCACAUUGGUGGAGUAGGCUAUAGUCAAGAAGAAUAUGAAAAGUCAUUGUCUUCUUGAAAACUCUUUCAAGACAACCUGAGGAGAAAGCUGCCUUUAAUGACAGAAACAGGGAUGUGGUACAUGCCAUCACAGUCCUUGGGUAAUGACUACGUGUCAUAAAUAAGAUAUGGCAUUUCUGAAUGACUUUAAACUAUUUCCUUUUGUUCAACUAAUUUAAUUUACCAAAUGCUCCUGGGGAAAGGGAGGGGGACCAAGAUGCUGACUCUGCAUUUCCUGGAAAAUCAACAUUUUCUUUUUAAACUGUCCUCAGAGAAAUUCUGUCUGAUUGUUGUCUGCUGGCUCCCUCAAACCCUACCUCUGUCAAAAUUCUGCCCUGGCGGGUGUGAGAAAAAAUAGAUGCAGAACUUGAGUGAAUACCCAUAUCUGUUUUUUUUGUUGUUUUUUUUUUUUAACAUCUUUAUUGGAGUAUAAUUGCUUUACAGUGGUGUGUUAGUUUCUGCUUUAUAACAAAGUGAAUCAGUUAUACAUAUACAUAUACAUCUGUUUUCGGAAAAAAGCAACAGAAGCAGCACAGAAGGAAGUAAAAGAGAUAAUUGCUGGCUUGAACUGCAAUACAUUUUACUUGUGGGCAGAGGGCCAGCUUACAGCAGGCGGAAUAUGCAGGCCCAUCUUAUUGGAAUUCAGGGGUGGGCCUCCAUUCUUGUCCAGAGACAGCUGUAAACCAGCAGCCCAUAGCAUCACAAUCAGGCACCGGGUUUUGUCAAGGAAUGCUGAUAUGUACAGAAGCAGCUUUGUCUGCUUCAGCUGCACCCCUGCCUAGUGAAAUGACAGUCUCUGAUUCCAGAUGACAAGAACUGGAUAAAAACUUAAAACAAAUGGCGACCUUUCAAAAGAUUAAUUUGUUUACCAACAAAAUGUUCCCUCUUUGUCAUCCAAGAUGGGGGUGACCUUCACUUUCCCAUAUCUAGGCUGAAAGGAUGCUGACUAAGUCAUCUGUUAACUCCAUCUCAGCAAUUAUUCCCUUUUUUAUUUUUAGUGACAAGAAGCGUUUAUUAAUUCACUCUGCUUCUUGUUAUGGUUUAUAAAUGCAACAAGCUCGUUCUGAAUUACUGCAGUGUAACAUCAAUUUGUUUAAAUCUAAUUCUGCUACUGUUGCCAAAUUAUGUUGUGACUGUAAUUGUGGCCAUAUGCAUGGGCUUAAAACACAAUCAUGUUGUGAAAUCCUCCUUCUUUCUCCCCCCUUGCUACUUACCCCCACCUCUUACUUCUGGUGCUUCUUCUCAGCAUUUGACACUAACACAAUUGCCUCACUUUCCAUUACUUUAUCACUUCAGAAAUGAAUGUGCUUUCAGUGAGAGAGAUUACUAUGUACACCCCAAGUGAAACAGUAAAGACUGAAACUAUGAUUUGUGAAGUAUGGUUGCUACCCAACUAAGUUAGUGAAAAACGUUGCAUAACGUAUGACUCAUAAAAUCUAGAAAUCAUAAAAGUAUUAAAUUCAACCUCAUGAAUAAAUAAAAGAUUCUAAGUUUACAUUGCAUUAUAUAUUUAUUUAUUUGGAAAGUGGGACCAAAGAACUGGUAUAAUUCUACAGCAACUCAUAUGUUGCUAAAAAGAAAAAUGUUCUUAUGAUUCUUUUCUAGGUCAUAACAGUUAUAAUCAGAGUUAUUUGUGCAGCAAUUCAGAGCAAUGUUUUGUUUGGCUUUUUUAUUAUGCAUUCAUAAUCGUUCUUUUAAAAUUCAUGGUAACAGAUACAUGUUUCAAGCCUUUUAAGAAACCCUUCUUAUUUAAAAAUAAUAAAUCAAAGUCAAAUUUUCUGUAGCUCUUUUAACGUGUUGCAUUAGAAAGUCUAACUGGAACUAAAUGUCAGUGAGUAAGUAUGAAUGUAUCAGAGAUUUCUUCUUGUCUAUCCAAACCUAUAAGGCUCUACUCAAGAACAUGUUAGAGGGUUUUUGUUUUUGUUUCUAAUUUGGCAGAUUUAAGAUAUUGAAAAAAUCAGUGGCUUUCACUUUUAAUACUUUUUUUUGUAAAUUGCUUUUACACAACAGAGUUACAGGAUAUACAAUUCUGAAGGCAGUUUUGUGGUGUGUGUGUGUG